UGAGGAAUAUUGGUCAAUGGGCGGGAGCCUGAACCAGCCAAGUCGCGUGGGGAAGAAGGAUCUAUGGUUCGUAAACUUCUUUUGCAGGGGAAUAAAGUGCAGGACGUGUCCUGUUUUGUAUGUACCCUGAGAAUAAGGAUCGGCUAACUCCGUGCCAGCAGCCGCGGUAAUACGGAGGAUCCGAGCGUUAUCCGGAUUUAUUGGGUUUAAAGGGUGCGUAGGUGGUUUGAUAAGUCAGCGGUGAAAGUUUGCAGCUUAACUGUAAAAAUGCCGUUGAAACUGUCGGACUUGAGUGUAAAUGAGGUAGGCGGAAUGCGUGGUGUAGCGGUGAAAUGCAUAGAUAUCACGCAGAACUCCGAUUGCGAAGGCAGCUUACUAAGCUACAACUGACACUGAAGCACGAAAGCGUGGGGAUCAAACAGGAUUAGAUACCCUGGUAGUCCACGCAGUAAACGAUGAUUACUAGCUGUUUGCGAUACA
rnacentral:rRNA from 1 species